rnacentral:rRNA from 1 species
AGGACGAACGCUGGCGGCGUGCUUAACACAUGCAAGUCGAGCGAGGCCCUUCCUUCGGGAAGGUGCCCUAGCGGCGAACGGGUGAGUAACACGUGGGCAACCUGCCCCUAGCACUGGGAUAACUCCGGGAAACCGGGGCUAAUACCGGAUAUGACCUUUGAGGGCAUCCUUGAAGGUGUAAAGGAUUCUGGCUAGGGAUGGGCCCGCGGCCUAUCAGCUUGUUGGUGGGGUAAUGGCCUACCAAGGCGACGACGGGUA